CCUACGGGAGGCUGCAGUGAGGAAUAUUGGUCAAUGGCCGGAAGGCUGAACCAGCCAAGCCGCGUGAAGGACGAAGGUGCCAAGCAUUGUAAACUUCUUCUGUCAAGGGACAAAAUCAGGCUCGAGAGCCUGAACGAGGGUAUUGGAAGAAAAAGCAUCGGCUAACACAGUGCAAGCAGCCGCGGUAAUACGGAGGAGUUGAGGGUUAAGCGGAUUUAUGGGGGUAAGAGGGUGCGUAGGCGGACUGUUAAGCCAGCGGUAAAAGCCCGGGGCAAAACCCCGGCGAGCCGUUGAAACUGGGUGUCUUGAGAUGUCGAGAGGUAUGCGGAAUGCGCAGUGUAGCGGUGAAAUGCUUAGAUAUUGCGCAGAACUCCGAUUGCGAAGGCGGCAUACCGGCGGCGAUCUGACGCUGAGGCACGAAAGCGUGGGUAUCGAACAGGAUUAGAUACCCUUGUAGUC
rnacentral:rRNA from 1 species